AUUGAACGCUGGCGGCAGGCCUAACACAUGCAAGUCGAGCGGAUGAAGGGAGCUUGCUCCUGGAUUCAGCGGCGGACGGGUGAGUAAUGCCUAGGAAUCUGCCUGGUAGUGGGGGAUAACGUCCGGAAACGGGCGCUAAUACCGCAUACGUCCUGAGGGAGAAAGUGGGGGAUCUUCGGACCUCACGCUAUCAGAUGAGCCUAGGUCGGAUUAGCUAGUUGGUGGGGUAAAGGCCUACCAAGGCGACGAUCCGUAACUGGUCUGAGAGGAUGAUCAGUCACACUGGAACUGAGACACGGUCCAGGCUCCUACGGGAGGCAGCAGUGGGGAAUAUUGGACAGUGGGCGAAAGCCUGAUCCAGCCAUGCCGCGUGUGUGAAGAAGGUCUUCGGAUUGUAAAGCACUUUAAGUUGGGAGGAAGGGCAGUAAGUUAAUACCUUGCUGUUGUGACGUUACCAACAGAAUAAGCACCGGCUAACUUCGUG
rnacentral:rRNA from 1 species